UACGAGGGGGGCAAGCGUUGUUCGGAAUUAUUGGGCGUAAAGGGUGCGUAGGCGGUUUUGUAAGUCUUGUGUGAAAUCUUCAGGCUCAACUUGAAGACUGCACGAGAAACUGCAGGGCUUGAGUGUGGGAGAGGUGAGUGGAAUUCCUGGUGUAGCGGUGAAAUGCGCAGAUAUCGGGAAGAACACCCGUGGCGAAGGCGGCUCUCUGGGACGGUACUGACGCUGAGACGCGAAAGCGUGGGGAGCGAACAGG
rnacentral:rRNA from 1 species